CUACGGGAGGCACCAGUGGGGAAUAUUGCACAAUGGAGGAAACUCUGAUGCAGCAACGCCGCGUGGAGGAUGACACUUUUCGGAGCGUAAACUCCUUUUAUAUAGGAAGAAGAUGACGGUACUAUAUGAAUAAGCGCCGGCUAACUCCGUGCCAGCAGCCGCGGUAAUACGGAGGGCGCAAGCGUUACUCGGAAUCACUGGGCGUAAAGAGCGUGUAGGCGGAUUAAAAAGUCAGAAGUGAAAUCCUAUAGCUUAACUAUAGAACUGCUUCUGAAACUCUUAAUCUAGAAUAUGGGAGAGGUAGAUGGAAUUUCUGGUGUAGGGGUAAAAUCCGUAGAGAUCAGAAGGAAUACCGAUUGCGAAGGCGAUCUACUAGAACAUUAUUGACGCUGAGACGCGAAAGCGUGGGGAGCAAACAGGAUUAGAUACCCGCGUAGUC
rnacentral:rRNA from 1 species